rnacentral:misc_RNA from 1 species
UCUCCGCUUGCGCGGGCAGUCUUUCUAGAGUCCCCACCAUUACAUGUUGGCAACUAGAAAUAAGGGUUGCGCUCGUUGCGGGACUUAACCCAACACCUCACGGCACGAGCUGACGACGGCCAUGCAGCACCUUGCUCCUUGUCCUUGCGGAAAAAUCCAUCUCUGGAUCGGUCAAGGGCAUUCUAGCCCAGGUAAGGUUCUUCGCGUUGCGUCGAAUUAAACCACAUGCUCCACCGCUUGUGCGGGUCCCCGUCAAUUCCUUUGAGUUUCAGUCUUGCGACCGUACUCCCCAGGCGGAAUGCUUAAAGCGUUAGCGACGGCACCCGGGGACUUUAUAACCCCAGACACCAAGCAUUCAUCGUUUAAGGCUAGGACUAC